rnacentral:rRNA from 1 species
GACGAACGCUGGCGGCGUGCUUAACACAUGCAAGUCUAGGGGGCCCAGCAAUGGGUCACCGGCGAACGGGUGCGUAACACGUGAGCGACCUACCCUGGAAUGGGGGAUAGCCGGCCCAACGGCCGGGUAAUACCGCAUACGCUCUUCGAGCUUCCUGGCUUGGAGAGGAAACCUUUUGGGUUCCUGGAGGGGCUCGCGGCCUAUCAGCUAGUUGGCGAGGUAACGGCUCACCAAGGCGAUGACGGGUAGCUGGUCUGAGAGGAUGGCCAGCCACAUUGGGACUGAGAAACGGCCCAGACUCCUACGGGAGGCAGCAGUGGGGAAUCUUGCGCAAUGGUCGAAAGACUGACACAGCGACGCCUCGUGGAUGAUGACGCCUUUUUGGGUGUAAACUUUC